GAUGAACGCUGGCGGCGUGCUUAACACAUGCAAGUCGAACGGGAAACCUUUUAUUGAAGCUUCGGCAGAUUUAGCUGGUUUCUAGUGGCGGACGGGUGAGUAACGCGUGGGUAACCUGCCUUAUACAGGGGGAUAACAACCAGAAAUGGUUGCUAAUACCGCAUAAGCGCACAGGACCGCAUGGUCCGGUGUGAAAAACUCCGGUGGUAUAAGAUGGACCCGCGUUGGAUUAGCUAGUUGGCAGGGUAACGGCCUACCAAGGCGACGAUCCAUAGCCGGCCUGAGAGGGUGAACGGCCACAUUGGGACUGAGACACGGCCCAGACUCCUACGGGAGGCAGCAGUGGGGAAUAUUGCACAAUGGGGGAAACCCUGAUGCAGCGACGCCGCGUGAAGGAAGAAGCAUCUCGGUAUGUAAACUUCUAUCAGCAGGGAAGAUAGUGACGGUACCUGACUAAGAAGCCCCGGCUAACUACGUG
rnacentral:rRNA from 1 species